CCUACGGGAGGCAGCAGUAGGGAAUUUUGCGCAAUGGAGGAAACUCUGACGCAGCAACGCCAUGUGUGGGAUGAAGCAUAUCGGUGUGUAAACCACUGUCAGCAGGGAAUAUGUACCUGCGAAGGAAGCCCCGGCUAACUUCGUGCCAGCAGCCGCGGUAAUACGAGGGGGGCAAAUGUUGUUCGGAAUCACUGGGCGUAAAGGGAGCGUAGGCGGGUUUUUAAGUUAGGUGUUUAAUCCCGGGGCCCAACCGCGGACCGGCACUUAAAACUGGGAAUCUUGAAUAGUGGAGAGGUCAGUGGAAUUGGGGGUGUAGCGGUGGAAUGCGUAGAGAUCCCCAAGAACACCAGUUGCGAAGGCGGCUGACUGGACACAAUGACGCUGAGGCUCGAAAGCAUGGGGAGCAAACAGGAUUAGAUACCCCUGUAGUC
rnacentral:rRNA from 1 species